CCUACGGGAGGCAGCAGUGGGGAAUAUUGCACAAUGGGCGCAAGCCUGAUGCAGCCAUGCCGCGUGUGUGAAGAAGGCCUUCGGGUUGUAAAGCACUUUCAGCGAGGAGGAAGGCCAGUGACUUAAUAAGUGACUGGAUUGACGUUACUCGCAGAAGAAGCACCGGCUAACUCCGUGCCAGCAGCCGCGGUAAUACGGAGGGUGCAAGCGUUAAUCGGAAUUACUGGGCGUAAAGCGCACGCAGGCGGUUUGUUAAGUCAGAUGUGAAAUCCCCGAGCUUAACUUGGGAACUGCAUUUGAAACUGGCAAGCUAGAGUCUUGUAGAGGGGGGUAGAAUUCCAGGUGUAGCGGUGAAAUGCGUAGAGAUCUGGAGGAAUACCGGUGGCGAAGGCGGCCCCCUGGACAAAGACUGACGCUCAGGUGCGAAAGCGUGGGGAGCAAACAGGAUUAGAUACCCUAGUAGUCC
rnacentral:rRNA from 1 species